UCGCCUUUAGUUGCCAUCAUUUAGUUGGGCACUCUAAAGGGACCGCCGGCGACAAGCGGAGGAAGGUGGGGAUGACGUCAAGUCCUCAUGGCCCUUACGGCCUGGGCUACACACGUGCUACAAUGGCGGUGACAGUGGGCAGCGACACGCGAGUGUAUUGCGAAUCCCAAAAAACCGUCCCAGUUCAGAUUGCACUCUGCAACUCGGGUGCAUGAAGGUGGAAUCGCUAGUAAUCGCAGAACAGCAGGCUGCGGUGAAUACGUUCCCGGGCCUU
rnacentral:rRNA from 1 species